GCUGUGGAACAACCACCAAAACCAAAACGUCAAAAGACCGGAUCUAACGAGGAUAAGAGAAACAGGGCAUCGCCUGCAAGGCUUUUCAAGCUGAAUAAACUUCUUGUACCUGUUCAACAAGGCCAAGCUCAAGUCACUUUCAGUCAAUUUCUGACACCAGCCUUAUACAGAUCAUGGGGAAAGAGAAAGGGAGGCGUGUGUUCUUCAGUAACCCAGGG